GUGGAAUUCUCCAUGUUUGAGGCCCUACCUUUGUGCUUGGGGCAGUGGAGACCUCUGAGUGCAGGUGAUGGAGACUGCAUCUGGUAGGGGAUAUUCAGCUUGUUAAAGACCUUCUUCCAAGGAAACUCAUGUUGCAUAAAGUGAGCAGAGGAAGCUGCCAACCUAGCCAGUCUAAUCAGGCCGACACUGACCCUCAUUUUCCUUCACUGACUUCCUGGGAUCUCGCCAAGAGUGAUCCUGCACCUCCCUGCUGCCGUUUGUGGCUGUAGGUGGCAAUGGCACCAGGCUGGACUUCUGCAGCCCCUCAGCAGAGGCAGCCUCCUGCUCCAGGCGAUCAGGAGCAAGAGAAGGGACCUUGCACGACUCAGUCAUGCAGCCUUAAGUAACAACCUGUUUAUCUGUGCUCUCUGAUAGUGUGUUAUUUUGUAAAGUAGUGUUUUCUCUCAGAAUAGCCCAGAAACAUCUGAUAGUCUGCAAAAAACUGCAGAUUAUGAACUCUGUGGAGCUAUUCUAAGGUAAGAUCUGUACUGUGUAACUGCAGAAAAAGAUUACUGAAUGUAUCCAGAAAUAAUACCU